UGACCGCUGGCGGUAGGCCUACCACAUGCAAGUCGACCGGCAGCACAGUAAGAGCUUGCUCUUACGGGUGGCGAGUGGCGGACGGGUGAGGAAUACAUCGGAAUCUACUUUUUCGUGGGGGAUAACGUAGGGAAACUUACGCUAAUACCGCAUACGACCUACGGGUGAAAGCAGGGGAUCUUCGGACCUUGCGCGAUUGAAUGAGCCGAUGUCGGAUUAGCUAGUUGGCGGGGUAAAGGCCCACCAAGGCGACGAUCCGUAGCUGGUCUGAGAGGAUGAUCAGCCACACUGGAACUGAGACACGGUCCAGACUCCUACGGGAGGCAGCAGUGGGGAAUAUUGGACAAUGGGCGCAAGCCUGAUCCAGCCAUACCGCGUGGGUGAAGAAGGCCUUCGGGUUGUAAAGCCCUUUUGUUGGGAAAGAAAAGCAGCAGGUUAAUACCCCGCUGUUCUGACGGUACCCAAAGAAUAAGCACCGGCUAACUUCGUG
rnacentral:rRNA from 1 species